AUGGUAGGGAACCAGAAAGGUAGUAAGUAGAUUUAGGAGUACCCCAGGGAAAUGUACUCCUCCUUUUAAUUUCUACUUUUUUUAAACCAGUUAGCCAUGAUAACUUGAGAGAGUAGAUAAUGUCUUUUUGUUAUUGUUGUUGUUAGAUCAGUGAAACUUUUAUUUUAAACAUAAAUUAUCCCUGAGGCACUAGGGAAGUAGAAAAUCUAGAGAGAAGUCUUUUAAUUCUCACAAGGUAAAAGCUAUGGGUCAACUAAGUAACUGACAAAGUUAAUGGUAUAUGUGUAUAAUUGGAACCACGUGUGUAAGUGGGACUUAAGUUUAUAGGGCUCUCUUAUUGAGAUUUUAAAAAUCUUGUUUAAAAACUAUAGUGUCAAGUUAAUAUAAAAUCUUAGAGCUUAAAGAUGUUUAUCCAAUUGUGGUUUUCUUUAGAUGAGAAAACUGAGGUGCAGAGAAGUCAAACCUUGCCCAGUGUCACAGAGCAGAGCUGAAAGUAAAGCUUGUAUUUCCUGAGGUCCAGAUUAGUGUUAUUUCUACUUCAGACUUACUUUUUGGUGAGUUAAUGUGGGGAAAAUCCUGGUAUUCUGAAGAUGUUGCGGCACAGUAUUGUUUCCUGUUCAAAUUACAAGUAACUUCAAGAAUUUUCAGGAAGAAAAGAAUUGAGAUUG
rnacentral:lncRNA from 1 species